rnacentral:tRNA from 1 species
GGGACCAUCGUCUAAUGGAAAGACCCCGGCCUAGCAAGCCGGCGACUUGGGGUUCAAAUCCCCAUGGCUCCA